UACGGAGGGGGCAAGCGUUAUCCGGAUUCACUGGGCUUAAAGGGAGCGUAGGUGGCUUUGUAAGUCAGUGGUGAAAUCUUAGAGCUUAACUCUAAAACUGCCAUUGAUACUGCUUAGCUUGAAUCACGUCGAGGUGGAUGGAAUAUUACAUGUAGCGGUGAAAUGCUUAGAUAUGUAAUAGAACACCGAUUGCGAAGGCAGUUCACUAGGCGUGUAUUGACACUGAGGCUCGAAAGCGUGGGGAGCAAACAGG
rnacentral:rRNA from 1 species